CAGAAUCAAAGGACACUUGAUUCUAGCAGAAAAAGUGUCCUCUGGUUUUCUGUCUGUCUGAUUGUGGCAGCUAAGAUUGAAUGAGGGAAUACAGGA
rnacentral:snoRNA from 1 species